rfam:Myotis brandtii contig222596, whole genome shotgun sequence.
GGUGGUUCUCAGGUGACGUACCUCAGAAUCAGGCUUCCUCCUCUCUGGUUCCAGGUGCAUCACCCAAGAACCACA